CAUUAUCCAUCCAAAGGGAACGCCACGCCUCGCUCGCUCGCCUGAGCUCCCUCCCUCCCUCCCUCCCGCGCUGCCGCAGGAGAUUCUCUGGCGCCAAGUAGUUGCCACGCGAUGGCUGCGUGCGCCGCCCGCCGCCUCUUCCUCUUCCCCCUCCACACCCCGAAGAUCCCGCCGGCGCCUCCGGUCAGGCGGCGGCGCGGGGCCUGGGCCGGCGCCGCCCGCUGCGCAAGUGAGGCCAGCGGCGGGUGGGGAGGCAUUGUCGAGGACGACCUUUCUGAGCUCCUGCAGAUUCUUCCAAGAGAUUUGCGAGACAAUCUACACAAUGAACCUAGAAAGGACCAACUGUUGGAGGUUAUUCUGGAUUUGGGCAGACGACCAGAGGCACGUUUCCUUGGUGAGUCUGGGGGCCAGUAUCUCCGCGACAGUGAGAUCUCACAGCAAGAGUUAGAGGAAGCACAGAGAGCUGUAGGAGAAUUUGGAGGUGACAACCGUGCAGGAAUUGAAGGUACUUUGCAUAGAAUAUCUGCCAUAAGGAGCAGAAAAGGAAUGGUUGUCGGUUUGACCUGUCGAGUUGGCCGAGCUGUUACUGGACAUGUUGAUAUGGUCCGGGAUCUCCUGAAUUACAAAGAAAGCAUUCUGUUUUUGGGAAGGCCUGGGGUAGGCAAGACUACUGUUAUGCGUGAGAUUGCACGUGUAUUGGCAGAUGAAUUUCAGAAAAGAGUGGUAGUUGUGGACACAAGUAAUGAGAUUGGUGGGGAUGGAGAUAUUCCUCAUGCUGCGAUUGGUGGCGCAAGAAGAAUGCAAGUACCUGAACCUUCAAUGCAGCAUAGGGUAAUGAUUGAAGCAGUCGAAAACCAUAUGCCUGAGGUAGUUAUUGUAGAUGAGAUUGGAACUGAAGCAGAAGCACAAGCUUGUCGCUCAAUUGCAGAAAGGGGUGUAAUGCUUAUUGGUACUGCCCAUGGAGAACGGCUUGCAAACAUCAUUAAGAAUCCAACCUUGUCUGACUUGAUUGGAGGUGUAGAAACUGUUACUCUUGGUGAUGAUGAGGCUCGUGCUCGACGCAGUCAGAAAAGUAUUCUGGAGAGGAAGGCCCCUCCAACAUUCCCUUUCCUUAUUGAGAUGAGGGAGAGACAUUAUUGGGUUACUCAUCGGACAGAAAGGAGUGUGGAUAUGCUACUUCAUGGAAAGAAGCCACUGGUUGAGGUCAGGAAAAGAGAUAACACGUUUCAGGUUGUCAUUGAAAGAUGGGCAACUUAUGAUGGAGAUGGACUCUGAACUCCAAAUCCACAAAUCAUAAUUCCUUCUGUCAAACUGCCGUACUCUGGUACUUGAGGUCUCUGUGGACGGCUAUCAUCUAUACUACCAAGCCUCUUGUUCUGAUGUGGUAUGGGCUGAUCCUAAUCCAUAACUCUUGCGAGUUACAUCCAGAAAGUUUCCAAUGUUCUUGUUAUACGGGUAAAGUAACCGAUGCUACCCAUUUUGAUGGAGAAUGAAUGAAACAAAGCAUCGUUGGUCAAUGACUUGGGUGAACAUUUAACUCAUUACCUAUUCCUGGCUUGUAACUAUUCUUUCACCGAAGGCAGUCCAUCAAGUGAUUUCGGCAUUACUUAUCAGGAUACAGCAGAUAACUUUUCACUAGUCCGAUAGAAGCUAGUAAGAGGCCGGGAUUUUUUUUUUCCAUUACCUUAAAAAAAAUUCUUCCUUAAGCAUGCCUAAGAUGUAUUGGUUUAUGGAAUUGAUAACUUUACACUAGUCCGAUAGAAGCUAGUAAGAGGCUGGGAUGUUUUUUUUUCCAUUAUCAUAAAAAAAUGUCUUCUUUAAGCAUGCCUAAGAUGUAUUGAUUUAUGGAGUUGAUAAUUUAUCUAGCUCACUAGCAUGCACAAUUGCACAUGUAACCUUUCAUACGAUUUUCUACAUUAUCUAACUUAUAUA